rnacentral:rRNA from 1 species
GGGCAGAUUCUUCGGAUGAAGUCCAUGGUGACUGAGUGGCGGACGGGUGAGUAACGCGUGGGUAACCUGCCUCAUACAGGGGGAUAACAGUUAGAAAUGGCUGCUAAUACCGCAUAAGCGCACGGUACUGCAUGGUACAGUGUGAAAAACUCCGGUGGUAUGAGAUGGACCCGCGUUGGAUUAGCUAGUUGGCAGGGUAACGGCCUACCAAGGCGACGAUCCAUAGCCGGCCUGAGAGGGUGGACGGCCACAUUGGGACUGAGACACGGCCCAGACUCCUACGGGAGGCAGCAGUGGGGAAUAUUGCACAAUGGGGGAAACCCUGAUGCAGCGACGCCGCGUGAGCGAAGAAGUAUUUCGGUAUGUAAAGCUCUAUCAGCAGGGAAGAAAAUGACGGUACCUGACUAAGAAGCCCCGGCUAACUACGUGCCAGCAGCCGCGGUAAUACGUAGGGGGCAAGCGUUAUCCGGAUUUACUGGGUGUAAAGGGAGCGUAGACGGAAUGGCAAGUCUGAUGUGAAAGGCCGGGGCUCAACCCCGGGACUGCAUUGGAAACUGUCAAUCUAGAGUACCGGAGGGGUAAGUGGAAUUCCUAGUGUAGCGGUGAAAUGCGUAGAUAUUAGGAGGAA